rnacentral:rRNA from 1 species
UACGUAGGGUGCGAGCGUUGUCCGGAAUUAUUGGGCGUAAAGGGCUCGUAGGCGGUUUGUCGCGUCGGGAGUGAAAUCCACUGGCUUAACUGGUGGCUUGCUUUCGAUACGGGCAGACUGGAGGUAUGCAGGGGAGAACGGAAUUCCUGGUGUAGCGGUGAAGUGCGCAGAUAUCAGGAGGAACACCGGUGGCGAAGGCGGUUCUCUGGGCAUGUCCUGACGCUGAGGAGCGAAAGCGUGGGGAGCAAACAGG